rnacentral:rRNA from 1 species
CCUACGGGGGGCAGCAGUGGGGAAUAUUGCACAAUGGGCGCAAGCCUGAUGCAGCCAUGCCGCGUGUGUGAAGAAGGCCUUCAGGUUGUAAAGCACUUUCAGCGGGGAGGAAGGCGUUAAGGUUAAUAACCUUGUCGAUUGACGUUACCCGCAGAAGAAGCACCGGCUAACUCCGUGCCAGCAGCCGCGGUAAUACGGAGGGUGCAAGCGUUAAUCGGAAUUACUGGGCGUAAAGCGCACGCAGGCGGUCUGUCAAGUCGGAUGUGAAAUCCCCGGGCUCAACCUGGGAACUGCAUUCGAAACUGGCAGGCUAGAGUCUUGUAGAGGGGGGUAGAAUUCCAGGUGUAGCGGUGAAAUGCGUAGAGAUCUGGAGGAAUACCGGUGGCGAAGGCGGCCCCCUGGACAAAGACUGACGCUCAGGUGCGAAAGCGUGGGGAGCAAACAGGAUUAGAUACCCGAGUAGUC